rnacentral:rRNA from 1 species
CUCUUGACAUCCAGAGAACUUUCCAGAGAUGGAUUGGUGCCUUCGGGAACUCUGAGACAGGUGCUGCAUGGCUGUCGUCAGCUCGUGUUGUGAAAUGUUGGGUUAACGUCCGCAACGAGCGCAACCCCUAUCCUUUGUUGCCAGCGAUUCGGUCGGGAACUCAAAGGAGACUGCCGGUGAUAAACCGGAGGAAGGUGGGGAUGACGUCAAGUCAUCAUGGCCCUUACGAGUAGGGCUACACACGUGCUACAAUGGCGUAUACAAAGAGAAGCGACCUCGCGAGAGCAAGCGGACCUCAUAAAGUACGUCGUAGUCCGGAUUGGAGUCUGCAACUCGACUCCAUGAAGUCGGAAUCGCUAGUAAUCGUAGAUCAGAAUGCUACGGUGAAUACGUUCCCGGGCCUUGUACACACCGCCCGUCACACCAUGGGAGUGGGUUGCAAAAGAAGUAGAUAGCUUAACCUUCGGGAGGGCGUUUACCACUUUGUGAUUCAUGACUGGGGUGAAGUCGUAACAAGGUAAGCGUAGCGAG